CUUGUUCUAGGGAGCACUCACUAGCUGGAGUAGGUCUUCCCAUAACACGAAAGAAUAAUUAGCAGAGUGAGAUUGAGCCAUGCCAUUGGACCACCUGGGGAGGAGGUUAUGUGGAGAGAUUUGCUGCAUUUCUAAAGAAUCUCAGAAAACAAGCUUCAUUUCAGAACCUAAACCAGCAUUUGCUUUUCUUCACUUUGAGGGAGCACACAGGAUACUGAUCUAGCUGGACAUCAACCUAAGGCUCCUGAGACGGAAGUGAGGGAGUACAGAAGUCAAAGGCUUAUUUUUGG